UUUAUUUACUCUUCCUUCAGUAAAACAAACAAACCAACAAUUGUAAACAGCGGAUCGGUCGUCGGUGUCUUGUGAAGCGGGCACAGCAGAAUGCCAAAGAAAAACGGACUGAGUCCCGCCCGAGUUCCGAUGCAGGCGGGUGAGAACGGGAGCCGUCCCGAGAGUCGAGCACACGGGGCAAGUGGAUCUGUUUUGACCCAGGCGGACUCAUCACGGGGCUAUAAUAACUUUGGGUCCACGCUGUCCAGCAGCGGUCAGUCGGAAUCUCAAAGCCGAGACGAAAUCAUCAUUAACAUGCAAGAAAUGUUUUCUCAUCUGGACUCUGAAGUCAUUUACAUGGUGCUCCAUGAGGCAGAUUUUAAAGUGGACAAUGCAAUGGAUUCUCUUUUGGAGCUGUCAGAUGCUGCUGAGGGCACAGCACCGCCCCCUCCUCCAGUCUCUGGGUUUGAGGUGGCUGCUGCUCUCCUGGGAGCGGACUCCACUCAAAGUGGCUUCGCUUUUUCACACCAGCCUGAAUCUCAGCGGGAACACAGCCCUCAUGAAACCCACCUAACCACAGAGUUUGAUACGCUCCUAGAUCAGGAACAUGAGACUUUGACGUCACAGCAAACACAGCCUAGCAUUCAUUCUCUGAUGUCCUCCAUACCUCUCUCUGCUCUGCCCCCUCCUUCUCAGUCAAUCCAUCUUUCCUGCCUGCCUCUCACAUCCCAGACUCAGCUUCCUGGUCCUCAAACCUCUUUAGAGCUUGAGCAGAAUCCCAAGUCGGGCUCUGUAACUGAACAGGCAUCAUACUCUAGCCCCAGGCUCAGAGAGGCCUGUAGAGGUAGUUCAACUGUGAGUGAAAUGAGUUUUGGUGGGGUUCAUAUCCCAGAGCAGAAAAGCAUAUCUCUUGACUUUAGUCACUUAACAAUGGAGGCCAGCUCUACUGAACCACGGCCCUCUGCCUUCCAGGUGUACCGCAGACCUGAUCAGCUCCACAACCAAACAGGAGUUCUGAAGAAUAAUGAAGCGCUCAGAACACCAGCCAUGUUAUUGAAGACUCAGGCUGCGGAGUUCCAUCCCCGCACUGUGGGGCCAGCCUUUAUUACACCUGUCAUUCCUAAUCCCACACCCUGGAACACUAACCCUUUCCCUGCUGCUCAGUGGUUGGCUCAUGGACCUAUCAGACAAGCACCUCUGAAGCCUUCUGCAACUGUACCGAAGUCAUGGACUCUACCUCCCAAGAACCGACUCAAAUUGGAAGGGCAUGUGCUGGUGUUACUUAGAGGGGCUCCUGGAUCAGGCAAAACCACCCUUGCCAAUGCUAUGUUGGAGCAUAACCCAGGAGGGGUUGUUUUGAGCACUGACGAAUAUUUUACUCGAAAUGGUCCCUACCAUUUUGAGCCAAAUUUACUAGGAGAAGCCCACGAGUGGAAUCACCAGAGAGCAAAAGAGGCUUUGAAAAAAGGCCAGACACCCAUCAUAAUUGACAACACCAAUAUGCAACGUUGGGAGAUGAAACCAUACGUUGCUAUGGCACAGAAACAUAUGUAUAAGGUGCUGUUUCGAGAGCCAGAUACUUGGUGGAAAACCAAACCCAGAGAGCUAGAGAAGCGUACAAGGCACCAAGUAACAAAGAGGAAGAUCAAACGCAUGUUGGAACGGUAUGACUGUUUUGUCUCUGUCCAGAGCAUCAUGAAUUCACAAAGACCGGAACAAGUGCCAAGUGUUGUGGAUUUGACGCAAACAGAGAUCGACCAGCCCCGGCAGUCUUUACCUCCUGGGCUCAGUCAUCCUGAUCAUGUUGGUGACUCUAGGUUGAUUAAACUAAAUGUGCACCUUUCCACAUCUCUGCCUGAUGUGUCCUCCGUAAGUCAGGCUUUCAGUACCAUUUCCACAGGCGAGGAAGAAGGUGAAAUGCAAUCCUACAGUUCCAAGGUGUCCAUGGUGUUCCAUGAGAACACUCUGGCAGGGUCUGGGAUGCUGCAGUCUGACCUGCUUGAUGGAGGAGAGUUAGACUUGAAGCUAGAUGCCUGCCUUGAAAAUUAUGGUGAGUUUGGAAUGACAGCAAAAGAGAAGUUUCUAGAGCAACCGGUGGCAUUUUCGGAGUCCAUUGCUCAGCGUGUAAGGAGGGACAGAGCGCCUUCUGCAAAUGCACUGGGAGUAAGUGCCAUCAAUCAACCUGUGAACUUUGACCCCAAUGUUGAGUCUUCUAAGCAAGUUGAGGAGGGAUGCAAAGAUCAGCCUCUUGCUGAAGGCAAAGUAAUGCGACCAGAGCUUUUGGAUUUUGUGGGGGACUGGCCACUGGAAUCUCAAAGCCAACGCCAAGGAAGACAACAGAAUUCAAGGAAUAAAUCUGUAAAGAACACCGAUAAGGAAUUCAGAGCUGUGGAAGUUGGAGAGAAUGCUUCUGCUGAUGUGGACAAGCAUUCUGAUACUGACAUGAUAAAUGAAGAAGAAUUUGUAGAUCUACUGCAAGGAGGAGGAAGCUCAUCUCCAGCUCCAAGUAAAUUGACUUCACAGCAUUCCCCAUCCUUGGGUAGAAACGAGGGUAACUUGAACCUGGAGACUGUGCUCUGGCCUAAACUCCCUGACUGUUUGCAGGAGUGGAAGUUUUCAGAGUGCACUGACCCAAGCAAAGAUUACUCUACUUCUCCAAGUCCAGUGAAAGAGGGGGCAGACCAAAUUGAGGAGUCCAGUCAUGUGUCCACACAGGAGGUGGUUGAGCAAGAGGGGGAGAGUGUGGUAUCUGAGGAGAAAUGCAGAAUGAGCCCCAGUGUCCAGGGAACUUUGUGUUCAAGAGUUGCCAUAGACUUGGAGAGCAGUCUGGAGAGACGGAGAGGGCUUAGUCGAAGAAUGGGAAAAUCUUGUAAAUUGGCACUUACCUUCACCAAUCAAAGCCUUUCCUCACCCUGCACAAAGUCUUCAGUUAUUUCACAUCAGCCCUCCAAUCUUUCACCAGGGGAAGGAGUCAUAGAGUCGUGUCCCAGCAUCUUAACCCAAACACAUCCUCAAGACUUUGCUCUGCUUUGGCGAAUUAACCAGCUAAAAUGUUCUGCAUCAGCUUCGGACCUCUCUAGUAGUGGUAUGGUCAUUUUGGAUGGAAACUCUUUGCGUUUUACUCCAAAAACAAAUGAAGAGCAGUCUGCCUGCCAGCAGGGUGUGCCAUACCGCAUGGUCCAUGAGAAAGGCUCUCAGGUGGAAGACAGCGACUUAAGAGAAUCCCACUCCAAACAACAAAACCUUGAGAUACUAGGCCGCCACUUCAGGCAUGUCUCCAUGGAUAUUCUGGAAGACCUUUAUGAGAAGUGCCAUCAAGAUAUGGAGUGGACAUCUAAUUUAUUGCUUGACUCUGGAGAACAGCUGUAUAAAUAUGACGAAGAGAAUGAGGAAGGUCAUUUGGGGUCAUUUUUUGGGGAACAGUCACACGAUUACCGAGCUGUGAAGAAAUUUCCAAUCACCGAGCCAUCAGAAGCCAGCUCAGAGAGCAACCGGGCUGGAGCUGAGCAGAAUGUGGCAGACUCCAGCAACAGUUUAGCCAGCAGCAUCAGUCCCAAGUCCCAAGAAACUAUCUUAAGUGACUUGAGCCAUGCUAAUGAAGAUUGGAGCGCAGGUCAAAGCUCACAAAGUGAAGCUGAAGGAUCUGAUGAGGGUUUAAGCAUUACCAAGGAAAAAUGUGAGCCUGAGCAUUCCUUUGUAACCUUAGGGCAACCAACAGAAGACACUAAAGUACAAUUGAAUGUUCCAGCAGCUAGUGAGGCAAAGCCAGAACCAGAUACAACAGAUCAGCUAGAUCUAGAGCAGGAAGGGACAUUGGUGAGACAAAGUGAGCAAAUUAGUCAGAGCCUAGAGGCACCAUUGGAGCAAUGGACUCAAGAAGAGAGAGGAGUGAUGGAAAAGGAAGAUGAAGAAACAAGAGCACAGGUGGAUUCCAUUACACAGUCACUUCUGCAUCAGGUCGAUGAAAUGGAGCGCAGAGAGGAGGAGGAGGAGAGCAAGGAACAAGCAAAGGAUAGAAAGAGAACUGGCCAGGGGAGAAGAGAGCCAAGAACUUUGGACAUUCAGACUCUGGAGCUGAAACUUCCAACUGAACUUGCAUUGCAGCUCACUGAGCUGUUUGGACCUGUUGGGGUCAGUCCAGGUGCAUUUUCACCAGAUGACUGUGCUGUGCAAAUUGACCUGAACUUGGCCAGACUGCUGCACCAGAAAUGGAAGGAGACUGUCCAAGAGAAGCACAGACAGGCAUCUCUGUCCUAUAAGAGUUCCGUCCACUGGGGUGAAUCAAAGUGUAACAAAACUGGGCCAAGAGACCAAUCAGGUUUGCAUGAAGAAAUUAUUUUUAUGGACCACUGGAGUGUGUCCUGUCCCCCCAUCUCCCUGAGGGACAUCAUGAUUGAGGAACAGGUGAUGCAGGACAGCAUGGAGAAGUCCAGGUCAGGUCGGAGGGAUCUGGAUAAGAAAGACAGUGCAGCCAAGUUGAAAGAGAACCAGCUGUUUUCCAUGUUCCCAACCAUAGACCGACAUUUCCUCCGAGAUAUCUUCAGAGACAACAAUGGCUUCUGCAGAAAGCAAGAUAUGAGCCAUCAUCAUUAUGUUCCUGAUGAACCUCAGAUGAGUCCAGGGGGAUUCUGCCUGUAAUAAGUGUGCUGGAAGUUGCUUUGGAUAAAACAAUUGCUACAAAAUGACUACGUUAUGGAAAUUAUGGAAUAAAUACUGACCCAAGUAGAAUUAAAUUCCCUAAACUACCUGGCUAAUGCUGGUCUCCUAGUUUCCCAGCCCGCUGGUACCUUUUUCUUCAGCACAUUACAACUCGGAGUCCACUGAGAGGUUGGCAGCAUCCUGACUAAACUCACUCAGUCCAAGAAUCUUGUAUUCUGUCACUACACACUAGCGAUUUCACCAUAACACCUAUCUCAUAUCUGGACUUCUGCUGCAGCCUAAUAACUCAAUCAGUUUCUGCUCUGCUCAUUAAUUAGUACACAGCCGGGGUUCAGACGCAGCUGUGGAACUCACCCAAGAAAAGUUCAACGCAAGCUUUUAUAGAUGAUAUCAUGUGAUCUCUCCUGAUACUUGUUUACUUUAUUCUGAUUGGAGGUUAGUUAGAAUUAGCUAAUCAUCAAGAGAUCAACAUUAUGAAAUAUAGUUGAAAAGAGAGUAUGUUGAAAAUUCCAGUCAUCGUUAGCUGCAUAUUCCAGUACAUCAAUGUCCCAUUUUCAGUUCCCCUCAAACAAUUCCACUUGCACGGACCCGUCUUUGCUCCUCUUCUCAGCUAUCUUUUAUACUUAACCCUAAAAUUUCAUGACUUGAUAUGGCAUUUACAACAUAUUAAGCAUUUGUAAUGUGAUUUAGUUCAGGGUGAAACUUAAUAUUCAGCAGGAGAUAAAGCAGGGUUGAGCUUGAUUUUAUCCCUUGGGAUUUGAUCAGAUUGUGAAAAGUGUCCAUAUACAAACAUGUAAAGAAUUAUUUGUUAAAGGGUUAGUUCAUCCAAAAAUUCUGUGUGUGUUUAUCUCAUUAUACACAUACCCUCAUGCCAUCCAAGGUGUGUGUGACUUUCUUUCUUCUGCAGAACACAAAUUAAGAUUUUUAGAAGAAUGUUUUAGCUCAGUAGGUCCAUACAAUGCAAGUGAAUGGAUGAACAUUUUGAAAGCAUUUUGAAGCUCCAAAAAGUACAUAUAGCCAUCAUAAAAAUAAUCCAUACGAUUCCAGUGGUCUAAUUAAUGUAUUCUGAAGCAAAACACUGUGUAAGAAAUUGAUAAAUAUUUAAAACUUAUCGAUGACAUUUCUGCUGACUGUCUGUGAUUUUUGGAGCUUCAGAAGAGAAAUCUCCAUUCACUUGCAUUAUAAGGACCUACUGAGCUGAGAUAUUUUUCUAAUUUGCUUCAAAUGUGUUCUGGUGAAGAAAGAAAGUCAAACACACCUGGGAUAUCAUGAGGGUGAGUAAAUAAUGAGAGAAUUUUCAAUUUUGGGUGAACUAUCCCUUUAACGAUAUUACCAUAAUUUCAUCAGUUAAUAUAAUAAAUAUAAUAUUUUUCCCACCUUUGGGCAUUGAUUCCUUUUUUUUUUUUUCUUUUUUUUCUCCAUUUUCCACCCAAUUUGGAAUGCACAAUUCCCAGUGCGCUUUUAAGUCCUCGUGGUCGCGUAGUGACUUGCCUCAAUCCGGGUGGCGGAGGAUGAAUCCCAGUUGCCUCCACGUCUGAGACCAUUAACCCGCGCAUCUUAUCACGUGGCUUGUUGAGCGCGUUGCCACGGAGACAUAGCGCGUGUGGAGGCUUCACGCCACCCACCGCGGCAUCCGCGCUCAACUCACCACAUGCCCCACCAAGAACAAACCACAUUAUAGCGACCACAAGGAGGUUACCCCAUGUGACUCUACCCUCCCUAGCAAUCGGACCAAUUUGGUUGCUUAGGGGACCUGGCUGGAGUCACUCAGCACGCCCUGGAUUCGAACUAGCGAACUAGCGAACUCCAGGUGUGGUAGCCAGCAUCUUUUACCACUGAGCUACCCAGGCAUUGAUUCCUUAAGCAAAAAAAAAAAAAGCAAUUUCAUAGGCAGAGAAAGUUAUUACAUUUUAGUAAAGGUUUAAGAAAGUUUAACUUUUUCUUUAGAGAAAUGUGCAUUGUUGAAUCAUGCACAAUGUGACCAGAAACAUUUAUGAAGAAUAAAAAAUAAGCAGUGUCAGUUCAGGUUUCAUGUUCACUUUACUUAGGGUAAGUUUACAUGACAACGAUGUACUAAAAAACGGAAACGUUUUUCCUUUGCGUUUUUGAAAAGUUUCGCGUACAGACGACAACGUUGUCAAAAUUUCCCCGUUCACACGGAUCCACGAAAACGACUAAAAACACUGUAUUAUGCAUGCUAGGCCAGUUGUUAGCGAUGUCACUUUGUAAAGAAAUACUACGCACCUGCGCACAUAAGCAUUCUGCCACAGAGCGGUGAAUACAACCAAUAAAGAUGGCGAUCGCUGUUUGUAGUAGUGAUGCAGUAAAUCUACACUUUGCUGGAGAAGCGUCAAUAAACUAAAAAUAUUUAGCAGCACAAACACAGUCCUGUAGUCCGCUAUUGUAGUUUUGAAUGUCUCGCGCAUUUUGAAGUACUCAAGCGCAUGCUUAUAGACUGAACACGUAAUACGCGUGCGCAUGAUGUCAUCGUUUUCACAAAUUCGUGUUUUUGUAUGUUUACACAGAGACGAUAACGGCAUAGUUUUCAAAAACUUGCACUUUGAAAGCCGUUUUCAAAAGUUUGCGUUUUCAGGCCUCAAAACGCCAUUGUCGUGUAAAUGAACAGCCAAAACGCAUAAAGUUUUCCGUUUUUAGUUGAAAACGUUGUCGUGUAAACGGCCCCUGAGUCAACAUGCAAUCAAACACUAGACACACUCAAAUCCUAGUCUUUAGAUUGUGGUUUGCCUCGCUUCAUCAUUUUCCACUCCUUAAGUGAGAUGUUUAGUUUAAAACUCUUUUUCUCUGUGAUACUUAAAGGGUUCAUAACAUGAGGAAUCUUUUGACAUUGUACUAUAAAAACAUACUGUAAGUUUCAGAACUCAAAACUUCCUCCUCACUGCAAAAAGAACAUUUGUUGAAACCAAAACGACUCGUUCUCUACUUCCUCCACAUUGUGAUGUCACACAGUGGAAGACAUUUGCAUCUGACCACCUCCACAACAACACAUCAACGCCUAAUUUACCUUCUCACAUCCGUAGCCCCGCCCAGUAGCGGUGAGCAGUGAGAUGACAGGUCACUCAAGAGCAAAGAGCCAAUCAGAACAGUGGGUGUUUACUGUCAAGUCUUAAAGGGGAAGUCGCACCAAAACAGAGUGUUUCUGACAGAGGAUCAGAAUGAGGGUGCGAAAUGAUCAUGUUUUACAAACAUAUAUGACUAUUUUUUGUGCUAAAAAAACUUUACUAAUAUUAUAAGUGACUCUAAAGGAACAUAAUAAUAAAAUAAUAAAAAAAGGCAUGUCAUGAGCCCUUUAAGUUCUAGAGGAAUUUUUGGCACAUAACUACGUGAAUACACUUCUAAUGCUUCUCAUAGUUAAGUUGUUCAAUAGUGCAAAAAUAACCUAAUAGCAAAUACCUCUCAAUCAUCUGCUUGUUUAAGUUACUCUCUGGAGCAGACCGAACAGUUUUUGCGUUCUCUAUUUGAUGAUGGACUGGUUAGAAACGUAGUGGCACCUGAACCCACCCCUCAACGCAGUGGCACACACAGAGCGCAGAGCAAAGAGAGGAAAUGGAAACAGAGAGAUGGG